AUCUAUGGUCAUAUCACCCUGAAUAAGCCAGAUCUCAUCUGAUCUCAGAAACUAAGCAGGGUUGGGCCUCAUUAGCACUUGAAUGGAAGAAUUAUAUCAUAUGAGUUGGAGUACAAGGGAUCCAUAGACA
rnacentral:rRNA from 1 species